CCUGUCCAGCGUCUGUCAUCUGGUAGGAUCCCUUCCCCUGCAAAGAGGACCCGUCCCACCCUAAAUAAUGAGGAGUCAAUUAAUAAAGGUGAGGAAGCUGUUGGAGAAAAUCUCUAACCCUUCCACCACCAGGAUGGUAGAUGCCUGAAGGCACCAACAAAGAUCGACUGGCAUAUAGUCCUAAAGCAACCAAAGGAUAUAUUGUUUCCUGAUUGGCUGAUUUUA